rnacentral:rRNA from 1 species
GACGAACGCUGGCGGCGUGCUUAACACAUGCAAGUCGAACGGAAAGGCCCUGCUUUUGUGGGGUGCUCGAGUGGCGAACGGGUGAGUAACACGUGAGUAACCUGCCCUUGACUUUGGGAUAACUUCAGGAAACUGGGGCUAAUACCGGAUAGGAGCUCCUGCUGCAUGGUGGGGGUUGGAAAGUUUCGGCGGUUGGGGAUGGACUCGCGGCUUAUCAGCUUGUUGGUGGGGUAGUGGCUUACCAAGGCUUUGACGGGUAGCCGGACUGAGAGGGUGACCGGCCACAUUGGGACUGACAUACGGCCCAGACUCCUACGGGAGGCAGCAGUGGAGAAUAAUGCACAAUGGGCGGAAGCCUGAUGCAGCACCGCCGCGUGCGGGAUGACGGCCUUCGGGUUGUAAACCGCUUUCGCCUGUGACGAAGCGUGAGUGACGGUAAUGGGUAAAGAAGCACCGGCUAACUACGUG